UACGUAGGGUGCAAGCGUUAAUCGGAAUUACUGGGCGUAAAGCGUGCGCAGGCGGUGAUGUAAGACAGAUGUGAAAUCCCCGGGCUUAACCUGGGAACUGCAUUUGUGACUGGCAAGCUAGAGUAUGGCAGAGGGGGGUAGAAUUCCACGUGUAGCAGUGAAAUGCGUAGAGAUGUGGAGGAAUACCGAUGGCGAAGGCAGCCCCCUGGGCCAAUACUGACGCUCAUGCACGAAAGCGUGGGGAGCAAACAGG
rnacentral:rRNA from 1 species